rnacentral:rRNA from 1 species
UAUGUGAUCGUCUCUCGCAUAUCAAUAAGCGGAGGAAAAAGAAACCAACAAGGAUUCCCCUAGUAACGGCGAGUGAAGCGGGAAGAGCUCAAGUUUGAAAUCUUAAAGGGUUUCCCUUUACGAAUUGUAGUUUAAAGAAGUGUUUUCUGUUGAGGUUUUGGUAAAAGUUCUUUGGAAUAGGACAUCAUAGAGGGUGAGAAUCCCGUAUUUGACCUUUACUUUCAACUUUGUGAUACACUUUCAAAGAGUCGGAUUGUUUGGGAAUGCAGUCCAAAAUGGGUGGUAAAUUUCAUCUAAAGCUAAAUAUUGGCGAGAGACCGAUAGCGAACAAGUACCGUGAGGGAAAGAUGAAAAGAACUUUGAAAAGAGAGUUAAACAGUACGUGAAAUUGUCAAAAGGGAAGCGUUUGACACCAGUGUUGUUUUUCUGAAAAUCAAUUAAAGAACUGUUUAUGCUAAGCUUGUUUAGACUUUAUCAGCUAUCUGUUUAGUUUUGAGCUUUUCUUUAAUGCACUUUUCAGUUAACAAGUCAACAUCAAUUUCUUUUGCUGUAAAAAAGCUUGAGGAAGGUGGCUUGAGAUUCGUCUUAAGUGUUUAUAGCCUCUUGCCUAUGCAGUCGGAGAGAUUGAGGUCUGCAGCGUAGAUCCUUCGGGGCUAAAUGCAUUUGUGCUAAGUUAUAGCAUUUUAUAGACAACUUGUUGACUAUGAUUUGUCUUGUAGCUUACUCGCUUAUGUUAUUUUACCUACGCUUAGGAUGUUGAUAUGCAUGACUGAUAU